rnacentral:lncRNA from 10 species
UCAUCAUGUAUAAAAUGGUGCAGUAGGAUGCAAAAUUUCCACUUGUUUAUAAGUGUAUCGCCGAGAAAUGUAUAAAAUAAUCGAGACCGGCGGAGGCAGGUCAGAGCCGUCUGGAAUGCGCGCACCUUCAACCACUUUGGGAGGCCGAGGCAGGUGGAUCACCUCAGGUCAGGAGUUCGAGACCAGCGUGACCAACAUGGUGAAACCCGUCUCUACUAAAAAUACAAAAAAUUAGAUGGGUAUGGUGGCGCGUGCCUGUCUGCUACUCGGGAGGCUGAGGCAGGAGAACCUUGGAGGCAAAGGUUGCAGUGAGCUGAGAUCAAGCCACCGCACUCCAGCCUGGGCGACAGCGCAAAACUUUGUCUCAAAAAAAAAAAAAAAAAAAAGUCCGCAGUAUGGUUUUCACAUUAUCACUCUCAAUGCCAUUGGAGGUAGGUCCAAGCUGGUGUCUCUUUGAUUAGUCUCCCUAAACCCAUCUAUUCAUUUACUAGCCAUUAGUUAUUCUUUAAUUGAGUCCAAAAAUGUUUGUGAGGAGAUAGUCCCAUAUGAGAUUAAAAGAAAGAAAGAAAACAAAACAACAAACAAACAAACAAAACAGAAAAUCAGGUGUAGUGGACACUGAAGAGUUUCUG